UACUCUGUUAUAUACUGUAUGUAUACAUAUACUGUAUGUUUAGAAGGAAGCGCACACGUCUUUGGCCCUUAGUUUGGCCCUUAGUUUGGCCCUCAGUGGGGGUUGUACAUAUGUGAAUAUCCCAGACUUCAUAAGCUGUACUUGUAUUGAUGCAGUGGAGUUGUCUUGCAGUAGAACCUUCUAGAUCCAUGUCUCGUUAUUCGUUUCCUCUGUGAAAUACACAAAGAACAGGUUUUCUAAACCGUUGUUCUAAACCUGUUGUGUGUAUUUCAUGGUGUGUGUGAAUAAUGGCAGCCACUGUAGCAUAUUCCACCUCUAUCUGGUCCUAAAGUCCCAUCUGCUCUUUUCUGUACUGGUCCGUGUAGCUGGACUCCUGACUCACUCUUAGUGGAAUAUUUACUCUGACGGUGCAUGUGUUUUGCUGUAGCGACCUUUUCUUCCCCUCCACCUGCUCUUCUCUCAGUAACGGGUUAAAACAGUCACUUUACUGUAGCCACCACCACCACCCAGCAAUACCAGCAACUGCAAACUGUACAACACUGGAUGUGCCAUAAGUCCUGUCCUUAGUAUAAUGUACUGUAUGUAUAUGAUAGAGAUCUAUUAAAUUAUUACAACGACAAACACUCUCUGAGGUCGUCGUGUCUGUUUUAUUUCAGCGUUACAGUGUUUAAUGAAACGUCCUUAUGUGUUUGUUCAUUGAGUAGAAGCUGAGAGUGAAGCGUGUGAAACCUGUGAAGCCAGCGGCCAUAACAAAGACACUGUUUACGUCGUAUACGAGAACGCACACGCUCCAGUUGUGUUUGUUUUCCUGAAUGGUCCUGGAGCUUCAGCUGGGGCCUGUAAUCUCCUGCACAUCUGGAUUACUGUUCCAUAUCAGGCGGCUGGAGGGAAAUGAGAUCAGAGCACAUAAGCUUUGGGUCAGCUGUGAACUCGUGCGAACACCAGACGCCAGACAUCAGACAGGGACGAGGCUGGGACCUGUAGUUUCUUAGGGGGCCCCAGCCUCCCUUAGACUGACCAAUGCUCCCCCCAUAGCUCCCCCGAAGAUGCUUCCCCUGUUCAUAGCGCAUCCAAUUUCAAGUAAAAAUGUUCAAAUCGCAACCGCAAAGUGUUGGAAAUGAAACUACAGUUAAAUAAAUAAUUAGCGUUUAUAAUCACUACAAGGACGAACAACAUUUAAGCUAGUUUGAAACGGCAAAACAAACACGUUAGAGGGUUAAAAAGCUCUAAAUUAACUUGUCUGUGUGAUCCCGC
ensembl:lncRNA